GAAUAAAAGCAGGCUGCGGAGCCAGCAGCGACAAUCGGUUGGGGUGUUUUUCAGGUGUGUGGGUGGUUUAGUUUUUUCGCUGUUUGGGGCCAUAUUGCUUUUAUGAGCUGUGACACUCACCGCGAAAGUCUGCGAAGCUUCAUUCAUGUAAGCCCCCGAGACCACGAACCUGCCGAGAGGAACGAACAAUUGUAGACGCGCCGCCUUAAGAGCUCUAACACUCACCGCGAAGGUCCGCAACUUCACUCCUGAGCCAGCGAGACCAGGAACCCACCAGAAGGAAAAAACUCUGGAACACAUCGGAAUAUCAGAAAGAACAAACUCCAGACACGCCGCCUUUAACAACUGUAACACUCACAGCGAGUGUCUGCACUUCAUUCUUGAAAGGGAGAGACGUAAGGCAGAAGAAGAUUACAUGUACGAGUUGACAGCAUAAUUCACUGGCAGAAUUCCAAAAAGAUGCUAUCAGUCCAAAAGAAAAUGAUUCUGGGGAGCCAUCUGUUCUCCAGCUGCAGAGAUGUUUCUCUAAAGUGCAAUAAGUAUUGUUGAAACCAUCUUUACUGUAGCGGAAGUCAAUCACAGUCUGGAUUCAGAUGGGAGCUGGUUUAAGCAUUCAGAUGAAGAGAUACUUCGUCAUUUCUACCAGUGAGUCAACUUUAUGACCUAUCUACAACUUUGGCAUUUGCAAACUCAGGUUAAGCAGGGAUGGUUAGAGAGUUUAUUUGAUCUUUUAAAUUAUAAAACUUAUGCAAUGAGUCCAAAAAAGAUGGAUUACCUUGAGUAGGUAAAAUAGUUAUAUUUGUUAAAUUGACCAAGGAUAAAUAAAAA
rnacentral:lncRNA from 1 species